CACAUAUUCCCUCCGUCUCAAAAUUCUUGUCUUACUUUUGUCUAAAAACGAAUGUAUCUAAGUACUAAAACUUGACUACCACAUUCAUAUCUAAACAAAUUUAAGACAAGAAUUUUAGGAUGGAUGGAGUAUUUU
rfam:Hordeum vulgare subsp. vulgare, WGS project CAJW01000000 data, contig: morex_contig_53044